GGGCCAGUAGCUCAGUGGUAGAGCGUGGGACUGCAGCAAAUUCUGUAGGAUAUCUUAAGGUCUCCAGUUCGAUUCUGGAUUGGCCCU
rfam:Clohesyomyces aquaticus strain CBS 115471 BCR34scaffold_67, whole genome shotgun sequence.